rnacentral:tRNA from 1 species
GGAGCCAGCGUGGCGUAGUGGUUAAGAGCGGUGGACUCGUAAUCUGGUGAACCGGGUUCGAUUCCCUGCUCCUCCA